AUGGUUUCCUGGAGUGAGGAUGAUGACAGCAGUGAAAGUGAGCACGGCAGGUAUUACCAGUACUCCACCUCAGGUUCAGACGACGGCAUCGUGAAGAUCCCUGCUACCACGGAUGACUCCGAAUUCGAGGGCAAUGAUUAUGUUUUGUGCCAUGAACACCGGAAGCGAGCAGAAAGACUUGUUGCUUUCGAGGGCAUCCAUACUGGCAGGAGGUUCCUUGCUUGUGCUGUGAAGGAUGGUAAAAAUUGUGGACUAGUUGAAUGGGUUGAUCCAUCUUGGCCAGCUACAAUGGAGAAUGCACUGUCCAAGUUGUGGGAUAUGUAUGAGCAGUCCAAGAGAAACAGGACUAAGGACAACCUGAUGAACUCAUUUGCUGUUCACCAACUGACACAAGAGAAGAUCAAGCUGCAGGCCAGUUAUGACAAGUUGGUUGGAGAUGUUCAAGCCCUUUUGGAUGAGAAUGAGAGGAGGGCCCAGAUGGAAAGGAAGCCUGAUGAGAGCAAGCUCCAGGAGAAGUAUGACAUGGUUAAGAACCUGACAGUAUCUCAAGCCAGUGUCAUUAGGAACAUGAAGUUGAAGCUUGCUGAAGAGAAGACUAAGUUGCAGGCCCAUAUUGAUGAGCUUGAGAAGGUUGUGGAGCAGACCAAGGCCAAGCUGAAUGGGAUCAAGGCAAUCUUAGAUGAAUGA
rnacentral:rRNA from 1 species